rnacentral:rRNA from 1 species
AACGAACGCUGGCGGCAUGCCUAACACAUGCAAGUCGAACGAGACCUUCGGGUCUAGUGGCGCACGGGUGCGUAACGCGUGGGAAUCUGCCCUUGGGUUCGGAAUAACAGUGAGAAAUUACUGCUAAUACCGGAUGAUGACGUAAGUCCAAAGAUUUAUCGCCCAAGGAUGAGCCCGCGUAAGAUUAGCUAGUUGGUGGGGUAAAGGCCUACCAAGGCGACGAUCUUUAGCUGGUCUGAGAGGAUGAUCAGCCACACUGGGACUGAGACACGGCCCAGACUCCUACGGGAGGCAGCAGUGGGGAAUAUUGGACAAUGGGCGAAAGCCUGAUCCAGCAAUGCCGCGUGAGUGAUGAAGGCCUUAGGGUUGUAAAGACUCUUUUACCUAGGGAUGAUAAUGACAGUACCUGGAGGAAUAAGACUCCGGCCUAACUCCCGUGCCAGCAGCCG